UACGUAGGGUGCGAGCGUUAAUCGGAAUUACUGGGCGUAAAGCGUGCGCAGGCGGUUGUGCAAGACAGAUGUGAAAUCCCCGGGCUCAACCUGGGAAUUGCAUUUGUGACUGCACGGCUAGAGUGUGUCAGAGGGGGGUAGAAUUCCACGUGUAGCAGUGAAAUGCGUAGAGAUGUGGAGGAAUACCGAUGGCGAAGGCAGCCCCCUGGGCCAACACUGACGCUCAUGCACGAAAGCGUGGGGAGCAAACAGG
rnacentral:rRNA from 1 species